rnacentral:rRNA from 1 species
CCUACGGGAGGCAGCAGUAGGGAAUAUUGGGCAAUGGGCGGAAGCCUGACCCAGCCACGCCGCGUGCAGGAAGACGGCCCUCUGGGUUGUAAACUGCUUUUAACUGGGAAGAAAGCAGCUCAUGCGUGAGAAUUUGACGGUACCAGUUGAAUAAGCCACGGCUAACUACGUGCCAGCAGCCGCGGUAAUACGUAGGUGGCGAGCGUUAUCCGGAUUUAUUGGGUUUAAAGGGAGCGUAGGCGGCUGAUUAAGUCAGCGGUGAAAGGUAGCAGCUUAACUGUUUUACAUGCCGUUGAUACUGGUUAGCUUGAGUUGACAGAAGGCAGAUAGAAUUCCUGAUGUAGCGGUGAAAUGCUUAGAUAUCAGGAGGAAUACCGAUUGCGAAGGCAGUCUGCUGCAGUCACACUGACGCUGAGGCUCGAAGGUGCGGGGAUCAAACAGGAUUAGAUACCCUGGUAGUCCGCACAGUAAACGAUGAUUACUAGAUGUUGGCCAAGCCAGUUGCCAAGGGAAACCGAUAAGUAAUCCACCUGGGGAGUACGCCGGCAACGGUGAAACUUAAAGGAAUUGACCGGCGAGAGAGAGACGACGGACGACGACGAGGGAGGAGG